rnacentral:rRNA from 1 species
UGGGGAAUAUUGCACAAUGGGGGGAACCCUGAUGCAGCGACGCCGCGUGAGCGAAGAAGUAUCUCGGUAUGUAAAGCUCUAUCAGCAGGGAAGAAAGUGACGGUACCUGACUAAGAAGCCCCGGCUAACUACGUGCCAGCAGCCGCGGUAAUACGUAGGGGGCAAGCGUUAUCCGGAUUUACUGGGUGUAAAGGGAGCGUAGACGGCAUGGCAAGUCUGAUGUGAAAACCCGGGGCUCAACCGCGGGACUGCAUUGGAAACUGUCGGGCUAGAGUGUCGGAGAGGCAAGUGGAAUUCCUAGUGUAGCGGUGAAAAUGCGUAGAUAUUAGGAGGAACACCAGUGGCGAAGGCGGCUUGCUGGACGAUGACUGACGUUGAGGCUCGAAAGCGUGGGGAGCAAACAGGAUUAGAUACC